GUGACAUGUCGAGAUCAGGUCUGGGCACAUUAUUAAUUACCAAUGAAAAUAUUUGUUGGUUGAUUGAGCUUGCAAGUCUCUAGUGCAUUCCUUUGGUAGGAAUUUUCAUCUGACUUGGGGAGUCGUACAGUAAAGUGGAUUGCUGAUGUUUCAAGGUUUCGAAAUUAUCAGUUUCCAUAGGUGAGGGUGUGGGACAAGUCUUCCCAGUAUGGAAGACCGAUGAUGCAAGAGGAAAUAUCAAGAUAGGUGCUUGGGAAGGAGGGAUAUUUAAGAGGAUUUGGGGUCAGCCCAAAACUCUCUUCCUCCGAUUAUGGAUCAAAUGCUACUGCACCACGAGAGGUGGAGAUGCAAAGACUUUAGAUCCGAGGUGGUGGAGAUUACUUUUGGCAUGAAACAUAUUACUAUUGGCGUGGUAUAGAUUACUAGUGGAUAUUUCUUUUUUGUGUACGGAGGACUUGAUUUUUGUAUGAUUCUCUGUUUGUAUAGAAUUAUUAUUUUAGGUUGGAUUAUAUUUAGUUUGUAUGGAAUUUGACGUCAAAAUAUCAAAUUUUUGGAUGCUUGAAAAUGAAAUAGAAAUAGAUAUAUGUAUUGUUUUGUUUA